AAGAAAAGUCAUACAGCUCAGGUGUAGAGCAGAGGACUGAAUCC
rnacentral:tRNA from 1 species